rnacentral:rRNA from 1 species
CCUACGGGAGGCAGCAGUGGGGAAUCUUGCGCAAUGGGCGAAAGCCUGACGCAGCAACGCCGCGUGCGGGAAGAAGGCUUUCGGGCUGUAAACCGCUUUCAGCAGGAACGAAAAUGACGGUACCUGCAGAAGAAGGAGCGGCCAACUAUGUGCCAGCAGCCGCGGUGAUACAUAGGCUUCAAGCGUUGUCCGGAUUUAUUGGGCGUAAAGAGUUCGUAGGCGGUCGAGUAAGUCGGGUGUGAAAAUUCUGGGCUCAACCCAGAGACGCCACCCGAUACUGCUUGACUUGAGUUCGAUAGGGGAGUGGGGAAUUCCUAGUGUAGCGGUGAAAUGCGCAGAUAUUAGGAGGAACACCGGUGGCGAAGGCGCCACUCUGGAUCGAUACUGACGCUGAGGAACGAAAGCAUGGGUAGCAAACAGGAUUAGAUACCCUGGUAGUCCAUGCCGUAAACGGUGGGCACUAGGUGUGGGUUUCUAUUAACGAAAUCCGCGCCGUCGCUAACGCAUUAAGUGCCCCGCCUGGGGGAGUACGGUCGCGAGACUAAACUACAAUAGAAGUUAGACGGCGUGAGACGUGCCGACGGACGACGACGAGGGAGGUAGG